rnacentral:lncRNA from 1 species
AGUAGUCCAGUGGGAUGACAUCUGGAGGGGCUAUGCUUUAGAUUAUUUAUAGAUGUGGGCAAUAAGAGCUACAUUUAUGUUGUCAGUGCUGUUUGCCCUCGUUUAAUUUCUCAAAUGACCUAAUUAUAUGUGUUCUCAAUAUGUCUUGGGAGGAAAAUAAUUGCUGAUACUGUCAAAGGCAAAAUGCUGAAUAUGUUUCAGUGCUUCUCACAUUCCAUGGCCUGAUUAUGGGCAUCAUUAAAUUACACGUUACCAUUCUUCCGGAACAUCGCAUUGAACAUGUCCUAAUGUUUCACAAUGAGAAGUGAAGCACUUCCUCUUACUUAAAAAGAAAAAUAUUUGAUUUUUACAGGAUGCCUGACACUAAUGCUUACUAUUCUGCUAUCUAUGAUGUCUUCACUUAUGGAUAUAUUUAUUAACAAGUACUUAUUAGCUAUUUAACAUUUCCUCUACUGAGUGUUAUUAAUUACAGAUGCUGUAUUAGUUUCCUAAGGCUGCUGUAACAAAUUACCACAAACGUGGUGACUUAAAACAACAGAAAUUUAUUCUCUCACGGUUCUGGAGGCCAGAAGUUCAAAAUACAGCUGGGACCAAAGGCAUCUCUAAGGAAGGAUACAGUCCUUGCCUCUUCCAGGGUUCUGUGCCUCCUGUUGGAAUGAGCUCACUAACCAGUGGAAACAAACUGUUUAUCCUUCUAUGAUGUUGCAACUGCCUGGGCUUUCUAAUGCGUCUUCAGAUUUCGCACAAUCCAUGACAGCAAGAAGACAAAGGCUUUGUUACAACAGAACAGAGCGGAGACAUCCGUGGCCGUCAGCUUCUUUAAAGCCAGUAAAUAAAGGAAAGAAAAGAGAAGUUAAUAUCCAGGUACUGAUGGUGACACCUCUUGUCUUAUCUGACUCAUCGCAGCCAUUUUCAGGUCUGGCUCUCUUACCCAGGCUGGAAUGCGGUAGCAUGAUCUUGGCUCACUGCAACCUCCGCCUCCCAGACUCGAGCCAUCCUCACACCUCAGCCUCCUGAGUAGCUGGGACUACAGGCACGCACCACCAUGCCAGGCUAGUUUUUGAAAUUUUUUUGUAGAGACAGACAGGAUUUCACUCUGUUGCCUAGGCUGGUCUCAAACUCUUAAGCUCAGGUGAUCUGCUCACCUUGGCCUCCCAAAGUGCUGAGAUUACAGGCAAGAGCCACUGCACCUGGCUCUGAGGGGCCAUUUUAAUAAAAAUGUUCAAGCUAGCAAUACAUACAGGCAAUAAUGGAAGUGAUACAAUGACUGUACCUAUACGACUAUGGACUGAAGACAGACUUACCACUGGGAGAAUUUUAAUUUUUUUCCCACUCGAUUGUUCAUGAACAUUCAAGUAUUUAUGGGGUAACUGUCAUGCUCCAGGCAUUGUAUUUUCAUGAGUAGUAUAUGUUUAUAAUGAAAUCUAUUUACAGGACUCUAGUACUAGUUUCUUUUCCAGUUUUAACUGAAAUUAGUGUGCCUCAAAGUAUUGCAAAUCAAAGUAAAUUCUAGCCAAUGUUUGCCUCACAUGAAUAACCCCAAAAAAGGACCACGUGGAGAGGAGGAGUGACAAAGAAUUAGGCACAGGGAGUAUAGCCUUAAAGAUUAAGUUUCAUAGUAAAUGUGACUUUCAACUGGAUGAGAAUGUUGGGAGUUGCAGGUCACCGGUUCCAGGAAGGUUAAAGACAUGUGUUGCACACACAGAAACUUGUAUUGAAAUUUGUUUACUUUCAUGUAAGGAGGCUUCCAAAAAGGAAGGAUUUUUGUAAAAUGAAAGUAAGAUUUCCCAAAGAUAAAUUUUAACUUUAAAGCCUUCUGUAAUGUAAACAGAAAUUACACACGCUCACAUACACAGGAAAGUGAACAGUCUCUUUGAAGCCCCACAGCCAAUGGGAUAUUCUGAAUUAGCACCAUACAUAGAACCAGAGGAAGUUUUCAUAGAGCAUCCUGGGCACAAAGUUCAUUUUCUGUACUUAUAAGGCGAUCUGCUCCGUGAGAAAGCUGCCGUGUAGAGCUGGAGUUGAGAGUCGUGGGUUUAUCCCAUCAUUUACAACUACUGAUUGCCUUUUAAAAUAUGAACACAUUUAUUAAGAACCACAACAAAACCCAUUCCUGAUUAAAGGAUAUCUUUUUCUUAUCACUGGCCCUAGCCAGUGAUUGUUCUUCAACCAAGAGCUGGGAGGAGUGCUCCUAAGCAAAGAUUUUGGAUGCAGGAAAGGAACACUCCAAUCCCACAGGGAAGACCAACAGAUGUGUAUUCCAGACAGACAGAGCCUCACUGGCAGAGCAGCUGGGAAGACGCUGCUGACUGACAGGUGGAGACUGUUCUCACCUGGCUCAACCUGUCUUCCAGGUGUUCAUUCCCUCGUUCUUCCCCUUUCUUUCCCCUUCUCUCACUGCCGACCUUCUCCCCUUUGUUACUGUUGUUGUAGAAAUUAAAAAUGCUCUCCAUCUAAAUGCCAGGUCACUUGUGUAAAAUCCCAUACUAUUUAAGCAUUAAACUCUAAGAAACAUGAAAACUGAAAAAAAAAUAUGGAUUUUUAUGGAGAAGCGAAUAACAGUGGGUUUCUCUUUGGGAUGAUGAGAUCAGACUUUCUGGGCAAGUGGCAUUGACAGGUGGUAUAGCUUGAAAUGAAGCAUAGAAGUUGGAGGACACUAAUAAUUUAGUUAUGCUUAUUAUUAAAACAGCAGCCACUAGUUGUUGAACCCUGUCUAUAUGUUAAAUAGCAUCUUAAGCAUAUUUUAUAGUAAGCAUAUUUUAUAGGUGCCUGACAUAGGCAAAUAUGUCUUUGGCUCCAGUUUGAUGCUAUCUAAGAUUUUUCCCCUAAGAAAACGUCCUUGUUAAUAAUAUGGUAUAUAUUUUUUUCUUCCUAAAUUUCAAAUUCACUUGAG